CCUGGGAGCUGAGCCGCCGCCCGCUGGGUGUAGGCUGCUUCAGUAUUUACCGAAUGUGACAAGCAGAGAGAAGAGCUUUCGGUGGGGCCGCUUGCUGCCCAGCUCAAGUGGUGGGAGAGCUCCUUACCCGCAACCUUUCUGACUAUCCCAUUGGCAAAGACCCGCAGGCCAUGAGGACUGGUCAAAGACGCCUGUGCCUGUGAUCCCCGCAAAGGAGCAAACCUGAGUGGUGACAGUGCGUGACAAGCCUCCCUUGGAGUUCUUCCAACCUUCCUCCCGCUCACGCCCUCCCCAGGCACCGGCACUCCCACCUCUGGGACACGUUCCCUUGGAGGGAGGUGAGAGGACGUGAAAGGGUAAAUCCCUGUGUCCCGCAGUCUUAUCUCCCGCCCUGACGUCCCUGCACACCAGCCAGAGGGUU
rnacentral:lncRNA from 1 species